UUUCGGUUCAUAAAAAUAAAAUAUUGAACUUCAUUAGCAACUAAUAUAAUAGUUAUAGUCAUAUAAAAAUAUCAAUAAGAAUAAUAAAAUAAUUGAAAAUAAAACAUUUUGGUUCAUAGAAAUAAAAUAUUGAACUCUAUCCGCAACAAAUAUAAUAAUUAUAGUUUUGUUAAAAUAUCAUUGGUAAUUAGCUUAUGCAAGCAGGUACAGAAAUAUAUCAAGUUCUUAAUAAAAAAUAAAAAUCUAAUAAGAUAUUAAGGAUUGCACAGCUUUUCACAUGAAUAUAAUCAAACGUCAGUCACAACUUUGAUAAUUUCUUAUACAGUAAGUGUUUAACUUCAGAUCUCAAUCCCAUAGUACAAUCAGCGCCACGUAUUAUCCCUACAGAAUUCAGACCAUAUUUUAAACGUACCGUCCAUAAGAGAUGUUACUCCUUCUCUACACUCCAUGGUAUGAAUGAAUAUCUCUAAAAACAUGCUUAAAAAAAUGUGUAAUAUUUUCGAUGCAUCGAUUUAUAUCGAAUAUCCCUAGUCCUGUCGAGAGAUAGAAAAAAGAAGAAGAUAGCACAGUGAUAAAAACAUGGUAGCUUGAAAACCUGAUAAUGAAAGUGCUAAUAAAUAAAACUACUAGUAAAUAAAUAUAGUUUUAAUAAAACAUAUAAAAAAAAGAAAUUGUACACUAAACAACGAAACAACAUGAAACAGUUGAUUGACUUGUAUUCAAAAUACAGGAAUGAAGUUGGUACUUUCAAAGUAAAAAUUGUUAAAAUUAUGAAGCUGAAGAAAGCCACAGAGUUUAAAAAUAUUAGCAUCCAAAUAACACCAACAUUAUGAAUUAGUGAAAGGUAGUAGGAAGAAGAUUCAGAACAUAUGCGGAGAACCAGAAUAAAACAGGUUGAAGUAGUAACUUGAAACUGAUUUGCCAACUAAAAUGUUAAAAUGCAAAUAGUAGAAAACAAGAUUAAUCGCAAUGAGUAUUUGCUCUUUGGAUGGAUCGAUAUGACUUGAUAAUCUUACUAAUCUCCUUUUAUUCAAUAUGUAGUAAGAAAGCUGCAAAUAAUUAUUUGUAUAGCUUCAGUACAAAUGUGCGCUCUGAGGUCGAGAGUUGGUUUCCUUCGAUUAAUUUCCUUCCAGACUCCAAAAUACAAGAACAAUGAAAAGGAAUUGACCGACUGACUUAAGAAAUGGUUAAAAUGGACUGGAGAAGUCAUUAAAACGAUAGAUAGGAGCAAAAAAUGGAUUCACUAUGUAAAAAUCAAGUUCAUUUCCUCCCAGAACUUCAUAUCACAAGGAAACUGAAAAAGAAUUGACCGGUUGGCUUAACAAAUGGUUAAAACGGAUUAGAAAAGUCCUUAUCACGAUAGGUCUUUCCAAUAUUGAAAUGCUCCAUCUUUUGAAUGUCAACUACAAUUCAUUAAUGGAAACACAAAUAAUAAUGAUAGGAUGCCACUUGUUCAAAUUAUUGUAUUCAUUAUUUGACAGGAAAAUGAUUUUUCUAUACUCAGUUGAAGAGUAGUAGUAUAGGAGCUAGUAACGUUUUUGAGAGAGAAUUCCAGGUCAGUUGCUUUUUUGAUAUGUCGUUCUUCUUACUCUUUCGAGUCUGGGCUACCUGGCUAGCAGUAGCAGUUACGUUUUUUAAUGCGCAUCCUACCUGUACAAGUAAUAAUCCUGAAUUUUUUAUUAAUUAUUGAACGCGUAAUUUUAAAAUUUCUGUCUUUAGAUAGGUCUCCCAGACAUACAUUUUUUAUUGCCAGGCAUUUUCAGUGUGCGAAUUUUUUAUUGCUUAGAAUCAAAAAUUCAAAACAUUUCAGAAUGUCCGUAUUUUUUAUAUUGUAUUCUUUGAAGAUAAAAUAGUCUAAAGAUAAUUUGCCAAAAAAAUUAAAAACUCAUGUAAAGUAUUGCCGUAUGAUGCUAGUAGUCAGAGAGAAAGAGAGAGAGUUGUAGAAUAUGAUCAAGAAUGAGACAGAAAAUAAUUUCAAAAGUACGUUACUUACAUUCGUUCUAUUCAGAACAAAUUUAUAUAUAAGAAAUUCAAACAUUGGAACAGAAAUAAAAUUGGAAUAAAGUUCAAUUAGAGAGAAGAAAAUUGAAAAAUGCGUCAUUAACGUUUUAAAAUUUAUUGAAUUUAUUGAAAAUAAAAUUUGAUUUUUCUAACAUUUAAAAGGCCCAACUUUACCUUUUCUAAAAAAUGCUGGCGUGUACUUACAUCCAGUAAGCACCUGGAAAAAUGGUAUAGCUUUCUAUAAAGAGACACCAAGGAUUCGGUACAGUUCAUUUACGUUGAUGUAUCGCUGAUGAUUGCCUACACCAAUAUUUUUCCAAAUUUUUGAAAGAUGCGUUUAAAUGAUCCAUAUUUCCCAGAAGUGUAAUUUAAAUAUCAGAGUCUGAACAGCAUAUAACAAAUUCUGCAUCUAAACCAAUUUGACAAAUGUGGAAAAUAAUUCUAGAAUCAGCUUCUUCUUGUUUUUCACAUGAUAAUGAUUCUUCAGUAAUUUUAAUAUAACUAUGUUAUUUACAAUGUUUUAAGAAUGACAUUUAUUAGAACUUCCGUAAAUUGUUUUAUUAACAAUAAAAGUUAUAACAUUUCUUCAGUAUCCCAGUGAUAAAUGAAAAAGUUAACAAGACCUUCUUUGAAUUGGAUAUUUUUGAGUUCUGCUCCAAAAUUAUGUGGCCGAACUUGAUUUGGACCAAUAUAUACUGGACAAGUUGAUUCUUCUCGGCGUGAACGCUCACAAUCUUUGAUAGACGGCAAAAAAUAUUGGUCGAAGAUAAUGUCAAUCCGAAUAAAUUUCUUAUGGGAGAUAGUACUAAUUUUUUAGAUAUACCGUCAUAUGUACAUCUUUCAUUAGAUGCAACAAAAAGAAAACAUCAACAAGACAAACAUCAAAAGAUGACAUUUUUUGCUCAACAGCUUAGCUAACUGUGAUUUGUUAGUUUUACAAAUUGAUCCAUCCGGAUGACACAUUGGAAUAAGUGGGAAUGUCAAAACUUUCUCGAUAUGAACCUUAUGAGUGAAGGAAAUCCCCAACAUUCUACUGAAUAGAAUCACAACUCAACAAUUUUAUUCCCUAAAUCAAUUUAUUUUUCUUUGGCGAUUUAGCAAAAUUAAAGACUUUAGUUUUUUUAUUGGCUUCACAAAUCUACUUUCAUCGCAACGCGUAGGGUAUCCGUCGCCCGGGUGCAAGAAUAAAAUAUGCCGCCUUAUUAGCGUACCUAGUCGACAUUGGAUUAGUGAGGCGAGAUAUGAGGUAAAUUUCUAGUCUAGUAGGAUAGAAAAGUACCUACCUACCUACGCCGGGAAAAUAUUCAUUUGUAAAAAUCGUCUCUAUCUAGCAAAUGUGUCUAGAUCUUAUUGGAGAUAGGAAUAAUUGUAUAAUUGUAUAAUUCAAUGCCGAUUUAUUAACAAAUAUAUAAAAACGUGAAGAAAAUAAAAUUUACAUUCUCAAGGUAGUAAAUAAUAGUCUGUUAUGUCCUGAAUGUCCUCCAAAAAUCGGGAAUUACGUUACUGAACUUCGAGAAGGCGUUUUUAAAAACGAAUUACACGUUGAGAAACGUUUAUUCAAUUGAAUCUAAAUAUAAUUUAAGUAGUUGGUAGUUCGUACCUGAUGUAGUCAUUUUUAAAUCUAUAUUUUCUAAACUAUUUUCACUAGAACUUUUUUCAAAAUUUUUAUCCUCGCUUGGUCGAAAACUUAAAAUGCUUUCAAAUAAUAUACUUAUGUUUUCUACUUCCAAUUCGCUCAUCAAAAUAUACUAACAAUUAUAUAUUUAUAUAACUACUAAAUUAUUGGAUGUGAAAAAGGAAAUAAUAAUGAGCACUUACGUUAAAACUAAAGCUAUCAUAUUCUAGGGGUCCUAAAGGUUGGAACGAUGUUAGUUCUUAGCCCAGGAAAAUCGUGGUCCUCGUUUUCUAGCUCUUCUGAAGUUCUUCACUGGUGUCGUCCACUGGAACCGCUGGAAUUGCUCGAUGUCCACUCGAACUAUCUGCAGUUCUUCGAUAUGCACUCGAAUUCACAGUUUCCGAACACAAAUUCGAAUAUUUCGGUUAAUCGUUGAAACGAAAAAUUUCCCGUGCGAUACGUUAAAUUUCCGAAAUAUCCUACUGACUGCGCCAAUUACGUUACUGAACUUCGAGAAGGCGUUUUUAAAAACGAAUUACACGUUGAGAAACGUUUAUUCAAUACAUUGACAAAACAGAAUCUACAUAUUAUUACAGGUUUACAAUAUUUAUAUGUUUUACAAAGUGCCUCGUCGGCGUUAUACAAUAAAGCUUAAUAAACAAUGUUCAUUGACGUAACUCGGGUCAUUGUGAUAUCUUUCUAGGAUCUGCGUUAUUUCUUCUUUCGUUUCCAUUACUAUUGGAACGUUACAUAUACUUAUUUGUAUAUUUUUCAAUUUUCUUUUACUUUCUUCUGUAAGUUCUUUAAUUGUACACUUUGUCAAAAUAUAAUCAUUUUUAUAAAUCUUAUUUUCUCUAUUCCAUACUUUAUCUACAGUUUAUCGAGUUUCUGCAAUGUAUAUAUAUAGGAUAGGCACUUUCAAAUUAUUUAAUACUUUGAUUACUGAAGGUUUUUCUACUGGCUUUUCUUCAACCUCUUUUCUAUGCGCAUGAUCCUUUUCUCGUUAG